AUCUGGCUAUGCUGACCAUUGAUAAUCCCAGCUCUAUGAGAUCUUCAAUUUGAAGGUCUAGUAAUAGAUGUUUAUUAUUUUUUCUCUUAGCUUGUAA
rfam:Populus trichocarpa isolate Nisqually-1 chromosome 18, whole genome shotgun sequence.